AAUCAUAUGAUGGUGAAUUGUAAAUUCACAUUAGAACACUUUUAACCUUGAAAGUUAACAGAACAUUAUCUUAUUA
rnacentral:tRNA from 1 species